CCGCAAGCAGCGGUACUUGAGCUGUGCGUUUGCUGCUCUGAUCAGUCACCGCGCAGUGCGGUGUCUCCGCUGGUUCGUGUCUGUGCCGGUAGGUGUGGGCGUGCGCGCUGCGCUGUGUGCUGCCAUCUCUGGAUUUAGCAUCUGCUUUUGUCACGCGUGUCUCCCUUAUUUAUGAAUGAGUGGGUGAGGGAGGAGAGGGCUGGGCUGCCUCCUGCACCGCUGUACAGUAAAGAGCAUAGGAGCUGAAGCACAAUCUCCUCCUCCUCCUCCUCCUUCCCGGCACUGCUUCACUGCCAGCCUUGCUCACAGCUGGGAGGAGGGCGGCCUCGCUGGCAGCCCGAGCCGGCACUGGGACACUGGAAGUUUUGCACUGAUCACACUGCAGGGAAAACCGCGUUGUAUAAACUCUACUCGCAGGAUUGGUCAUUUAUUCUGGCCAGGCAAUUCUUUUCUGUGCUGAAGGAAGUGAUUUUCUUUCUAACUUUGAUGGGACUAAAGCCUACCACCAUCCAAAAAGACAUUUAUAAAAAAAUGACUCUACUCUACAUUCAACAGUGUUGAAGAUCACAGUAUUUUUACCGCAGCGUGUUGGCCAUGGUUAUUGACAUCCUUCAGCAAAUCAUCACCUCAAGAUAAAGGUUGUGUGGAAGAAAUAAAUGAUAUAUGACACUGAAUGAAAUUAAGGUU
rnacentral:lncRNA from 1 species